GGUGGCAGAAAGCAAGGCAGCUGGGCCCCCAGGAGGCCCUGCAGUCUGAGCAGUCACAGCAGACGUGUCAGCACCCAGGCUCCAUGCCACCGGUCAGCCCGUCCAGGACUGCAUGUGAGGGAUCAAACUCAGGACCUUGCGUUUUCGAGGCAGGUGGUGGCACCACUGAGCUAAAUCCCUGGCUGAACAUCUUUAUGUAGUGCACAGACCCUUCUCUGAAGGAUGGCUGGUGACGUCGGGGCCUCUCCAUCUGAACCUUGAGAGAACCGGACCUGGCCCCUUCAGCUGUCACUGAGGAGCCACCUGCUCUGUGCUCCCGGUGGGAGCUGUACACACAUUGUCUCAGACCCAGGGCAGAAUCCAGAGCUGCCCCACACCUGUGCUGCCAGAGGAGAGGCUGGUGGGGCUCACAAGGGCCCUCGGCUUCCAUCGUGUCCUGGCCAAUGCAGACAAGGAGUUUGUCGAUGACCGGCCCCGAGCCACUCAGUUUAAGCUCAGUCCAGAAAAAGUAGGAAGGGUCCUGAAAAUCCGAGCCACACUGCAGCCCUGCCAGCUCGGUGCUUCUUCUCAGCAUGAGUCCCCCCUCCUCUGCAUCCUGGUGAGUGAAGAGCUCAGAUCCCAUCAUAAAAGACAGGUGCUGUGGGAUCAAGACAAACCAGAGCCCCGCCAGUCCCCAGCAUCAAUUCCCAACCAGGUGACUGAAGCCACUCUUGUCAUAGUGUUGAACCUCAGUCUUUAAGCCACUAAACAGAAAAACUUCGAGACAAUCAAAAGCCAUAUUAUUUAUUAAAAUGAUUCAUAAUCCAAAAAAAGCAUUGGCUACCCAUAAUUGUGAUAAUCACACUGUAGGAAUUAUUUACCUUGAUUACUUCAGUGUAUUUGGCAAAUGUACUUGGAGGAUGUUUCUGUUCUAUCCCCAGAAAAAUGCAACCACAUUGCUUUUGUGUGAUCUGUAAGCUAGGAGAGUUGGGGACAUUGCCCCUCAUGGAGUGGGGAUGAGAGCGCUUGCCUGGCACGCAUGAGGACCUGGGUUCAGUUUCUGUGCUGAAAGAAAAGAUAAAGAAUGAUUCUCAUCUACCUGAUUGGGCUGAGGGUAUAAACAGAAGGCACUUUCGUAAAUUGCAGCUUUUAGAUGUUGGUUCCAUUUUAGAUUUAUAACUAUAUUACAACUGAAGGACCAAAAGUGUUGAACCUGAAAUGUUUAUGCUUUUGAAAUGCUUCAUGAACUUUCCUGUGAAGAAUGGAAAGGAUAUCAGCUUGGAGGAAAAUAACAAAACGUCCAGAAAGGAAUGUAUGAAAUGUCCUCUGCAGGUGCACUCGGCUCACAAUGCUUCCUGUCAUUCCUCCAAAUAUUUGUGCGCUGAGGGAUACAGGAGAAAAAUAAAUGACAGCGAGAUGCACAGCCGUGCUUCCUGACUCGCCUGCCGUGUAGUGCUGCAGACUAAGAAAGCAGUGUGGGGAGUUCAGAAAGGCCAAUGUCUUCCCCUUCUCACAGGCCUUGAACUGGUCCAAGCCCCAGAGCUUCUCCACUCCCAACGUCUUACUGAUUUUUUUUUUAUUCAAGUGGUUUUAAUGUUACCAGGGGAUCUCAUAAUAAAAAUGUUCUUAUUUCCUGUGAAGCAUAUUUGUCUGACAGUGUCCUGAGAAUAUUAAUUUAACCGUCUUCCUGAGCAUCACCCUAAACAAACACCUCAGAUUCUCCAAGGAAUAAUGAUGUUUAUUUAGGGAUAGCAUUGCAAGGGCGUUCACUUGUGUAAUAAACUCUGGGUGUAUCCAAGGGGUUUGAGACAGAGGGAAG
ensembl:lncRNA